GGGGGGCCGCGCCCGGCGGAGGUGGACGGGGCUGCGGCGCGAAGGGCGGCGGGGCGGCCCCGGGCUGCACCCGCGGAGGGACCGUGUCGCGGCCCGCCCGCUUCCUGGUGGCCGCGCUCCGCGUCCCUGGCGGCGUCCGCCAAGACAAAAGAGUUAUGAGGGGACAGAAGAAGUAAGACAAAAUGUGCUACAUUUAAUGCCUGAUUUUAGCUCCCCACUGCUUGCCUUCUAUAAAAGGUGGUAUCUCACAGCUGGAAAUUCACAGAAUCCUCCUAUCAUAAAAAUGUAGGAAGACAUGGCCAGAUGAGUUACCUAAGUCCCUAGUGCAUGUAAAAGUGAAGACCAAGCUGGACAGAAAAAGGACAGGAUAAAUGGUGAGCUGUUAAAUCUGAAUUCCACCCUGUUGCUAUUGCCAGUGCGUCAGAGAGGCUCAUCCCAUCGUGCCUGACAGAAGGACUGCAGGCCUUUUUUCCCCCUGCACCUCCUCACUGGCAGAGAAUGAGACACAAGAAAGUCCCUGAUGCAGGAUAAACACGACUUGGCAACAAUCAAGACAUGAGUGUGUUACCAACAUUAUUCUUGUGUUGACAAUCCACAACACACUACUGUGCCAGCUACUGAGAAGAAAUUAACUAUAUUCCAGCCAAAACCAGGACACACUGGUGUUUAUUCAAAUCAUAUUGUGUUCUUAUACUCUGACUCCUCACUAUGUCCAUUUAUACUAGCCAAUAUUACACUCAUACACUGUUUUGGAUAUCUUUUCCAUGUUUUAAAGAUGUUUUUAAUAGGACACCCUCAGCAAAAGUAAAGAGGACUUUCAGUGAAAUUCCUUUUUCAGGCUGGUCCUGCAACUAAGAUUUCUUCCCCAUGAAACUUGAAUUGCUCAUAGACAAUUGGUGCUUUUGGUCCUGCCUUCUUUAUCUGCCCUAGUAGAAAAAUAGGUGUUGCCUAAGACCAAAUGAGCCUAAGCAUAAUUUAGAGUAAGUGUGGAAAUUAUUAAAAUACUCCCAUGAAAAAACCUUAUAAAGUAGCAGUGUAGAGACCCCUCUUCAGGAUAUAUGACAUAAAUGUACAGUGAGGGAAAGUGAUCUUCAAAGUAGGUAGGUUAAAAAUAAUUUAGAAUGAAACAGUAUUUUAUGUAUGGCCUGAAAGCUGAGACACAGUAAGUGUGAAACUUUUAAGUACAGUCUUGUGAGGCUUCUAAUGGAAGCAUGUCUUUUCCACACAGAUAAAAUUCUGGACUAAAUUUGAAUUGUAAUUGUAUAUAAUAGAGCUUUGUCGCAAACUGGCCUCAGGUUGAAAAAAAGGCAUAACUCAUGAUUGUUAUUUCCACUCCAAAAUAAAUAGUGACAAUUUCAUGACGAGACAUAUAUGAAAAAAGGAAUGUCCAUUGGCUGUUCCCAGGAUAAAAAUAAUGAAUAAAAUUAAAUUAAUAAAAUGAUGAAGUUAGAAGGUAUGAGGCAAAAGAUAUGUUUCCUGUUGACUUCAGUCAGUUCUGUCAAGUCUGUGUGUUUAUAAUUUUCCCAUUAAUUGUUUCUUUUCUUGUUGUGUAAAGCUUGUCAUCCAGCUGCACAUCUUAACUGGAAAUAGGUAACUGUAUGGAAAAUUACCAGCUUAACUCUUUAACUAAUCACACAAAUACGUCCCCUUAUGUUACUGCUAAUUUUUUAUUACAGUGACCAUAAAAAGCUAUAAAAGUGCUACUGUUGUGUUGGACAGUGAUCUGGCACACGUGCCUAAAAAAAAGAACUGUUUUAUUCUGUGUAUUUUCCUGGUUAGUUGAAACCAAUUCUGGUUUUAAUCCUGUUAUAUGCAUUGAGUCCUUAAUUUUUAACAAUAAGGUAGUUAUUUUAUUGCAUUUUCUCUGUUCUUUUAACAUAGUUUAACUAUGUCUUUUGACAUAGUUAUCCUUUUACCUUGACUGAAGGGAAAUCCUGUCCUCAGCUGAGAAUAUACCAGUACUCUCAGAGAGUAAGUCCUUUUUGUUUAACGUACUGUAUGUGGACAACGCAGAGUUUAGAUUAUUACUGGCCAACUGGUCAGGCUGUUCAAAGGCUAGAAUUUGCUUUAUGUUUAUCUGAGGUGCAGGUGAUUUCCCUUUUAAUGUGAAUAUGCAAUUAAUCAGCAAUUUUUUUACUAUGUCACUGAUACUAUUAAAUAUUAAACUCUCCACAUGCUCAAUACAGGUGAUACAUUGUGCAGCAUGUUGGCAAUCAAAUCAGGUGUUACUAAGCCUUGAAGAAGUCUCACCCAACCUUAUAAUUUGUAUUAAUUAUAUCUCUCUAUUAUUAUACCUUAUAUAACCUUUCUUCAUUAGUAGGUAAUCAUGUUCCAUGUAAACAAUUUUACUACUUUUCAGGCCUCCAUACCUACCAUUCCCCAGGUGAUCUGAUACAGGCCCUAGGAAAACAGUGUUUGUUUUGUCUGUGAAUAUCACUGUAAUUCAAUGACACUUUGUUUGCAAGCCUUAGUUCAAUAUUGUCCUUCUUGAUCCAUAUGUGGAGAUUAUUACCUCUUCUGAAAUUGCUACAUUCGCGGUUGUGUGUAUUGUUAUAUAAUUUAGGAUUCUUAAUGUCUUUGUCUCUCUUUAAACAAAAUAAAACAUUUGUCACAGAUGAA